rnacentral:rRNA from 1 species
GCAUGUCUAAGCACAAGCCCUUGAAUGGUGAAGCCGCGAAAAGCUCAUUACAACAGCCAUAGUUUAUUGGAUCUUUACCUUCUUACACGGAUAACUGCGGUAAUUCUGGAGCUACUACGUGCAUUAAACGACGACCUUACGGAAGUCGUGCAUUUGUUAGACCAAACCAAUCGGUCUUCGGACCGCCAUUUGGUGAACUCUGAAUAACUUUGCUGAUCGCACAGUCUCGUACUGGCGACAAAUCUUUCAAGUGUCUGCCUUAUCAACUUUCGAUGGUAGUUUAUACGCCUACCAUGGUUGUAACGGGUAACGGAGAAUAAGGGUUCGACUCCGGAGAGGGAGCCUGAGAAACGGCUACCACAUCCAAGGAAGGCAGCAGGCGCGCAAAUUACCCACUCGCAGAACGCGGAGGUAGUGACGAAAAAUAACGAGGUGGCUCUCUACGAGGUCCGCCAUCGGAAUGGGUACAAUUUAAAUCCUUUAACGAGGAUCUAUUGGAGGGCAAGUCUGGUGCCAGCAGCCGCGGUAAUUCCAGCUCCAAUAGCGUAUAUUAAAGUUGUUGCGGUUAAAAAGCUCGUAGUUGGAUCUGCGUUCGGUGAAAGCGGUCGCCCGACGGGUUGUACUGCUUCUCCCGAACUAAUCAUUCGGUUUUCCCUUGAUGCUCUUCAUUGAGUGUCCUGGGUGACCGGAACUUUUACUUUGAAAAAAUUAGAGUGCUCAAAGCAGGCGAUUCGCCCGAAUAUUCGUGCAUGGAAUAAUGAAAAAGGUCCUUGUAGCCUUUUAUUGGUUAUUGCUAUGAGGAAAUGAUCGAAGGGGACAGACGGGGGCAUUUGUAUUGCGACGUUAGAGGUGAAAUUCUUGGAUCGUCGCAAGACAAACUACUGCGAAAGCAU